rnacentral:rRNA from 1 species
UACGUAGGUGGCAAGCGUUGUCCGGAUUUAUUGGGUUUAAAGGGUGCGUAGGCGGCUUUUUAAGUCAGUGGUGAAAGCCGAUCGCUUAACGAUCGAACUGCCAUUGAUACUGAGAGGCUUGAGUAUAGUUGAGGUAGGCGGAAUUGACAGUGUAGCGGUGAAAUGCAUAGAUAUUGGGAAGAAGAACGAUUGCGAAGGCAGCUUACGAAAGUAUAACUGACGCUGAGGCACGAAAGUGCGGGGAGCAAACAGG